GCUCGGGUGGUGAAACUGGUAGACACACAAGACUUAAAAUCUUGAGGGGUUCGCCCCGUGCGGGUUCGAGUCCCGCCCCGAGCACCA
rnacentral:tRNA from 1 species